rnacentral:lncRNA from 1 species
UUUUAUUUAGAAUAAAUCUUUUCUAAAAUCAUAAUAAUAAAUAUAAAAUCUUUUCUAAAAUCAUAAUCUUUUUCAUUCUUUUCUGAUUUCAUUUCCCCCUCAAAACCACCACCACCACCAACGUCGAUUUCAAACUUUUCCCUCAUCUCCACCGUCAAAACUCGUUCUCCCUUCCUGGAAUCGACAACCUUGUCGUCCGCUGUACUUCGACGACUGCCAUUCCGUCCGUGCAAUCCUCUGAUAUUCCUCAUUGCUGUCGAACGCGACGUUUCAAUCGGCGACAACUUCUACGACGAGCUCAACGGGGAUCCUCUAACCCUAAAUUGGUAUGGCUUAUUCUCCAAUUUCAUUCUCCAAUUUUCCAUAUAACCAAUCAGAUUCAUAGCUGAUAAUUCACCGAACUUCAAUUAACCAUGUUGAUGCAAAAACAGUUUAUAGAUUAUACAAAAAUAGUUUGAAUUUAUUUUAUAUUUUGUUAUAGUAAUAGAAAUAGCUUAUACAUAAGAGUUUAUAUCAUGAGAAUACUGGAAAAGGAAAACUACUUGGAUAUUGUAAAGAGAGCAAUAUGUUUUUAAGGAUGUUGGUUUUCGACUAUGCUUCCAAUGGGACACUUCACAAGCACCUACAUUGUUUACUCAAUACUGAGCUUAAAAUCCUAUUAUUAUAUAUUAAAAGACUACUGAAUACGCUGAAAAUCAUAAUGCCGGAUCCAUUUAAAGAUGUUCUAGUUCAGUGUUCACUCAGUUCGAUUGCAUAAUUUCUGAAGCUUUAAUGACUCCGGUUCCGAAAGCUACAACCUUAACACUUCGGUUUUGUUUUUCAAAUAACUUAUAAAGAGUGAUUUAUUGUGGUGCAUGUUGUUUUAAUGAUGAUAAACUAUAGUUUCUGUUGUCUUACCAAAUAACUUUUAAAAACUUUUGGUGUCUUUCUCUUCCUAAUGUGUCUAAUUCUCAAGUGUCUCGUUUUGAUAUGGUUGUGGUGAAAAGUCUUUUUUGGUUUUAAUUUGCUGUGAUUUAAUUCUGUAUUUAAAUGACUUACAACAACUACACUCCACAAGAUAUGAGCUCAUGACUCAUUGUAAACUUACUUUCAUAUUCUUCUGGCUCUGUUUGGACCUUUUAAGAUGAUAUAAUUUUCUUCUGUGUCAUGCUAUGAUUUAUACAAAUUGUCUUGUUAAGUUUACCACUUAAGAAUGAUGAUGUUUAUACGGUGAGAACAGGUUACAGGAGCAUUAUGAAUGAAUCCAGAACAGAGAAACCAGCUGGGACUGAAAUGAACUGGUCUGCAAUUUGGCGGAUUAUUGCUCCGCCAAAAACGCGUCACAUAAUUUGGCGAAUUUGUAAGGGAUGUUUGCUGACACGUGUUCGGUUAAUACAACGGCGAGUGGAAUGCGAUACCAUCUGUCCCUACUGCGAUGAGGAACCAGAAGAGGAUAUGCAUGUGUUGUGUUGUAUUGUUCAACUGUCAGUUUAUUCGUAAUAGCUGGAAAGUGAUGGUGCAGCAGCGUCUGCAGAGGUGUGGUUCAGUUAUUGAACUGUUAUCGGAGGUCUGUAGCGACGAGGAUGUUAAUGUGGCUGGGCGGGUUGCAGUGCAUCUAU